GUUCACUUCAGCAGCACAUAUACUAAAAUUGGAAUGACACAGAGAAGAUUAACAUGGCCCCAUGCAAGGGUGACACUCAAAUUCAUGAAGUGUUCCAUAUUUUU
ensembl:snRNA U6 U6 spliceosomal RNA